rnacentral:lncRNA from 1 species
CACAAGAACGGUGCAGCCCUCGAGAAAUUUUGAAGGCGAGCAUCAGUGGUGGGAGUAUGGACAGAAGAUAGACGUAAGUCUUCAGCAGAGCGUAAGGGCCUAGACACACUUGUGUAUUAGGAAGGAUAGAUAGGAGCAGCAUUAUGUAGCAAGAACCAUAAUUUUAAAUUGAGCCCUAUAUCUUUACAGGAGGCCUAUGUGGGGACUGACAGAAAGGUGAGGUGUGGGCGGACAGGAAGAUGAGCCCCGCCGUCGCAUUCAUUAUGGACUGGGAGCUGUUGGGAGCAUGUAAGGCCACUGAGAAGCAGAUUACAAUAGUCAAGGCGAGAAAGGACAAAGGAAUGAACCAGCACCUUAGUCGCAUCUGGUGUUAAGUAGGGUCGGAUGCGCACAAUGUUUUUGAGAUGGAACCAGCAAGAUUUGGCGAUAGACUGAACAUUAGGCGUGAAGGAGAGGUUGGCGUCAAAGAGAACACCUAGGCAGCGAGCCUCUGUGGUGGAGAUGAUGUUUGCACCGUUGACUUGGAGACAGACAGGACACAGGAGUAGCAACACUUGAGGGAGGAAAGACCAGAAUUUCAGUUUUGGUCAAGUUGAGUUUAAGGAAGUGGACAUCCAUCCAGUUAGAAAUAGCAGAGAGGCGAUCAGAGACACUUGUCAAGAGGGACGGGGAGAGCUCAAGAGAGGACAAGUAGAUUUGCGUGUCAUCCGCAUAGAAAUGAUAUUGGAAGCCAAAGAAGCUAAUGAGUUUACCAAGGGAGGCAGUAUAGAUGGAGAACAGUAGCGGACCAAGGACUGAAACUUGGGGGACACCAACAGAGAGGAGUUGGGGAGAAGAAGCAGAGCCAGAGAAAGAAGCCCUGGAAGAGGUAGGAGGAGCACCAGGAGAGAGCAAUAUCUUGUAGACCGAUAUUGCGGAGGAAAGGAAGAAGCUGCUGAUGAUCAACAGUGUCAAAAGCCGCACAAAGGUCAAGGAGAAUUAGGAUAGAGUAGUAACCACGAGAUUUUGCAGCGAGUAGAUCAUUGGAUACUUUGGUCAGUGCUGUUUCCACAGAGUGCUUAGCGCGGAAACCAGACUGAAGCGGGUCUUGCAAAAUCUCGCAUACACAACUCUUUCAAGGAUCUUGGAUGCAAAAGGCAGUAGCGAGAUAGGACUGUAAUUGGAUGGGGAGUUAGGGCCAAGGUUGGGCUUCUUUAGAAUUGGGGUUACAGUUGCAUGUUUGAAGGGCGAUGGAAAUAUGCCAGAGGAGAGAGAUUGAGAAUUUUAGUGAAAGGUAGAGAAAGAGAAGAAGACAGAGUACGGAUGAGAUUGGAUCUAGGGUGCAGGUGGUGGGGCGGGAGGACUGGAGCAGAGCAGAAACCUCUUCCGCUGUAGCGGGUGCAAAUGAAUGUACAACAGCAGAGGGAGUGAGGUUAGGUGAAGUAUUGUAAGGGGAAGAAGAAAGAUGAGAGAUCUCUUCCCUGAUUGUAGAGAUAUUGUCCGUGAAGUGAGUUGCAAAGUCUGAGGCAGUCAAGUUAGUAGGUGGAGGAGGAACAAUAGGGCGUAGAAGAGAGUUAAAUGUGUGAAAUAGUUGUUUGGGUUCAUAGGAGAGUGUGGUAAUGAGGGUAUUGAGGUAAUUUACUUUUGCAGAGGAAAGAGCCAAGCUGUAUGAGUGCAGCAUAAAUUUAUAGUGAAGAAAAUCAGGCGCACAGUGAGACUUUCUCCAACAGCGUUUAGUAGUUCUGGAGCAUUUUUGGAGAUCUCAAGUCAGCUUGGUGUGCCAAGGUUGUUGUUGGGGGCGCUUGCUGCGUUUAAAUGUAGGAGGUGCCAUGAUGUCUAGUUGAGAGGAGAGGGUGGAAUUGUAGAAGGAGAUUGCAGAGCUGGGACAGGUGAGGUUUGAGAUAGGUAAAAGGAGUUUGGAGAUUAGUG